CUGCAGACAAAGGAUUAGUCAAGUGAGCCACAGCACCAGCUCCUCUAAAGUACUUUCACCAAUACUUUUUUUUUGAUAGGCAGAGUUAGACAGUGAGAGAGAGAAACAGAGAAAAAGGUCUUCCUUCCGUUGGUUCACCCCCCAAAUGGCCGCCAUGGCUGGUGUACUGAGCCAACUGGAAGCCAGGAGCCAGCGAGAUGCGCUGGCCGCAGUGGCCAUUGGAGAGUGAACCAACGGCAAAAAGGAAGACCUUUCUCUCUGUCUCUCUCUCUCACUAUCCACUCUGCCUGUCAAAAAAAAAGAAAAUGGCCCAUUUGGAACUCCAGAUCUGAAAUAAUCUUAAUUCCUACAUAUUCACAUAGAUAUUUUGGCUGCUAGAAUAUUAAUUAAUUAAUUAAUAUUAAAA